UACCAUGCAGUCGAGCGGAGAUGAGGUGCUUGCACCUUAUCUUAGCGGCGGACGGGUGAGUAAUGCUUAGGAAUCUGCCUAUUAGUGGGGGACAACAUUCCGAAAGGAAUGCUAAUACCGCAUACGUCCUACGGGAGAAAGCAGGGGAUCUUCGGACCUUGCGCUAAUAGAUGAGCCUAAGUCGGAUUAGCUAGUUGGUGGGGUAAAGGCCUACCAAGGCGACGAUCUGUAGCGGGUCUGAGAGGAUGAUCCGCCACACUGGGACUGAGACACGGCCCAGACUCCUACGGGAGGCAGCAGUGGGGAAUAUUGGACAAUGGGGGGAACCCUGAUCCAGCCAUGCCGCGUGUGUGAAGAAGGCCUUAUGGUUGUAAAGCACUUUAAGCGAGGAGGAGGCUACUGAGACUAAUACUCUUGGAUAGUGGACGUUACUCGCAGAAUAAGCACCGGCUAACUCUGUGCCAGCAGCCGCGGUAAUACAGAGGGUGCGAGCGUUAAUCGGAUUUACUGGGCGUAAAGCGUGCGUAGGCGGCUUUUUAAGUCGGAUGUGAAAUCCCCGAGCUUAACUUGGGAAUUGCAUUCGAUACUGGGAAGCUAGAGUAUGGGAGAGGAUGGUAGAAUUCCAGGUGUAGCGGUGAAAUGCGUAGAGAUCUGGAGGAAUACCGACGGCGAAGGCAGCCAUCUGGCCUAAUACUGACGCUGAGGUACGAAAGCAUG
rnacentral:rRNA from 1 species